rnacentral:rRNA from 1 species
UACAUAGGUCUCAAGCGUUGUUCGGAUUCAUUGGGCGUAAAGGGUGCGUAGGCGGCGCGGUAAGUCGGGUGUGAAAUCUCGGAGCUUAACUCCGAAACUGCAUUCGAUACUGCCGUGCUUGAGGACUGGAGAGGAGACUGGAAUUUACGGUGUAGCAGUGAAAUGCGUAGAUAUCGUAAGGAAGACCAGUGGCGAAGGCGGGUCUCUGGACAGUUCCUGACACUGAGACACGAAGGCCAGGGGAGCAAACGGG